UUGCGCCUGCGGCGGACCCGGCACGGCCAGCAACAAGGCGGCCCCGAUGCAUAACGCCGCCUUUUGACUUCGCAGGCAGUCGGCACGUGUACGGCCCGGUACAUCCAUGAAUUUCAUGGAUUUAAUUUCUUCU
rnacentral:sRNA from 12 species